AAUAAGCGGAGGAAAAGAAACUAACAAGGAUUCCCCUAGUAACUGCGAGUGAAGCGGGAAAAGCUCAAAUUUAAAAUCUGGCAGUCUYUGGCUGUCCGAGUUGUAAUCUAGAGAAGUAUUAUCCGCGCUGGACCGUGUACAAGUCUCCUGGAAUGGGGCGUCAUAGAGGGUGAGAAUCCCGUCUUUGACACGGACUGCCAGGGCUUUGUGAUAUGCUCUCAAAGAGUCGAGUUGUUUGGGAAUGCAGCUCAAAAUGGGUGGUAAAUUCCAUCUAAAGCUAAAUAUUGGCGAGAGACCGAUAGCGAACAAGUACCGUGAGGGAAAGAUGAAAAGAACUUUGGAAAGAGAGUUAAACAGUACGUGAAAUUGCUGAAAGGGAAACGCUUGAAGUCAGUCGCGUUGGCCAGGGAUCAACCUUGCUUUUUUGCUUGGCUUACUUUCUGGUUGAUGGGUCAGCAUCAAUUUUGACUGGUGGAAAAAGUUCAAGGGAAUGUGGCAUCUUCGGAUGUGUUAUAGCCUUUGUUCACAUACAUUGGUUGGGAUUGAGGAACUCAGCACGCCGCAAGGCCGGGUUUUUAACCACGUACGUGCUUAGGAUGCUGGCAUAAUGGCUUUAAUCGACCCGUCUUGAAACACGGACCAAGGAGUCUAACAUGCCUGCGAGUAUUUGGGUGAAAAACCCGAGUGCGUAAUGAAAGUGAAAGUUGAGAUCCCUGUCGUGGGGAGCAUUGACGCCCGGAUCUGACCUUUUGUGACGAUUCUGCGGUAGAGCAUGUAUGUUGGGACCCGAAAGAUGGUGAACUAUGCCUGAAUAGGGUGAAGCCAGAGGAAACUCUGGUGGAGGCUCGUAGCGAUUCUGACGUGCAAAUCGAUCGUCAAAUUUGGGUAUAGGGGCGAAAGACUAAUCGAACCAUCUAGUAGCUGGUU
rnacentral:rRNA from 1 species